GCAUAUCAAUAAGCGGAGGAAAAGAAACUAACAAGGAUUCCCCUAGUAAACUGCGAGUGAAGCGGGAAAAGCUCAAAUUUAAAAUCUGGUGGCCUUUGGUCAUCCGAGUUGUAGUCUGGAGAAGUGCUUUCCGCGUUGGACCGUGUAUAAGUCUCUUGGAAUAGAGCAUCAUAGAGGGUGAGAAUCCCGUCUUUGACACGGACUACCAGUGCUUUGUGAUGCGCUCUCAAAGAGUCGAGUUGUUUGGGAAUGCAGCUCAAAAUGGGUGGUAAAUUCCAUCUAAAGCUAAAUAUUGGCGAGAGACCGAUAGCGAACAAGUACCGUGAGGGAAAGAUGAAAAGCACUUUGGAAAGAGAGUUAAACAGUACGUGAAAUUGCUGAAAGGGAAACACUUGAAGUCAGUCGUGUUGUUUGGAACUCAGCCUUGCUUUUGCUUGGUGCACUUUCUGAAUGACAGGCCAGCAUCAAUUUUGACCGUUGGAAAAAGGUGGGGGGAAUGUGGCACCUUCGGGUGUGUUAUAGCCUCCUGUCACAUACAACGGUUGGGAUUGAGGACCGCAGCACGCCGCAAGGCAGGGGAUUUCCCACUUUCGUGCUUAGGAUGCUGGCAUAAUGGCUUUAAAUGACCCGUCUUGAAACACGGACCAAGGAGUCUAACAUGCCUGCGAGUGUUUGGGUGGAAAACCCGAGCGCGCAAUGAAAGUGAAAGUUGAGACCUCUGUCGUGGAGGGCAUCGACGCCCGGACCUGACGUUCUCUGACGGAUCCGCGGUAGAGCAUGUAUGUUGGGACCCGAAAAGAUGGUGAACUAUGCCUGAAUAGGGUGAAGCCAGAGGAAACUCUGGUGGGAGGCUCGUAGCGAUUCUGACGUGCAAAUCGAUCGUCAAAUUUUGGGUAUAGGGGGCGAAAGACUAAUCGAACCAUCUAGUAGCUGGGUUCCUGCCGA
rnacentral:rRNA from 1 species